CCGGUGGGCCAGGGGCCAGACCCUGACCUGAGAAGAGGAGGAGCCUGAAUCCUGCUGCUGCCGAGAAGUUGAAAACAAAGCCAGAAGAGGUCCAUCUUCUGACCUUGAAAGUACUCCUUCCUAAGGACCCAGAAGGCCAGGUUUGAGGUCGGAGUCAUCAGAGUCCUUGGAGUUCUGCACGGGAAUGUGGCAGCGCAGGGAGAGCUGGUCUGGCACUCACACCUCCCCCCGCCCUGUCUUCCCACCUCAGCUCUGACCUGCACCUUGAGAGGCCUCAGGAGCAUGCCAGUGGGCUCUUCAGCUCACACGUUCCAGUUCCAACCACAGCCUCCCCUUGGCCGCCCUUAUGGCUAAAGCAUUAUUCACAAUAGCCAAGACAUGGAAGCAACCCAAGUGCCCUUCAUGGAUGGAGAGAUAAAGAAGAUGUGGUAUAUAUAUACAAUGGAAUACUACUCAGCCAUAAAAAAGACAAAACUGUCUCAUUUACAACCACAUGGAUGGACCCUGAAGGGGCAGGCAGGACAGGAUGUUCUCCGAGUUCCAGCAGCAGGACCAUCCCUCAGAACGCGCAGCAGAGCCAUGAUUAGGGCUGAAGCCUGGUUGUGGGGCAAAGGCCUUGCCUCACCUUUCACCACCGUCUCGCUUGAGAUGUCGCAAGUAUUUAGAGACUUGCCUUUUCCCCCCCUCUCAUCAGCUUUAUAACCCUGAACACAUUCUUAUUUUUCUUCCCAUCACUCAAUUUAUCAGCCCCUGGAACAAGUCUGUCACUCACCCGUGAGCCUAGAAGGCUCUCUGGUGAAUUGUAAGGCAGUUCACACUGGCUUGAUUGGGCAGAACAGGGUGGUGGUGGUUCUUAUCUUGGGUUUAAUUUGCUUAAGUUGUUCCCACCUCCUCUGCUCAGGUCUAGCGGCUCUUUGGGAGCUCUGGUCGGGUAUUUCGGUAGCAGGAUAAGAGUGGUUAAGAGCAUAAGUUUAGGCUGCGGAGGGGGCCUGGGUACAUGGCCCAGGUCUGCCAUUAAGGGCCACAUGACCCGGGACAUGUGGCUUGACCUCUCUGAGCCUCAAAGUUCUCAUCUGUAAAAUGGGAAAGAACAUUACCUGCCUCAAAGGAUUGCUGGGAGGAUGGAACGAGAAUGCUUAUGGAGCACUUAGCACUGCUCGAGGCACAAGGUUAUCCCCAUAAUCUUCCCAGCAGGACAAGGACAACCACAGGUCCGGGAUAAGGGUAUUGGGAUCAGAGAAUCAGGGGUUAUGAAGCCAGGCUUUUCGCCCUAGACAAGGGUGGAAGUGAAGAGGAAAGAGCUUGUUCUAGUUGAAAGAUCCAGUCAGGGUUCCUUAAGGUGGUAAAAGCCAAGAUUUUUAGGAUUGAAAGAGACCCUGGAAAUCCUCUGACUGAAAAGAAGGUAGCUCUGUAGCAGGAGAGUGAGAAAGAAGACGGGCCCGAGUGACCUCCACAAAGCACCACUUAUGAAGGAUUUGAGGUUUUGACGGGAGUGCCUGGUGGCUAAAAAUAGGACAGGACUGUGUGGGCUCCGUGAGCCUGGUUGCUCCUCAGGUGGAGAAAAAAGUUACCCCAUCCACCAGAGGGUCAGUUCCUCCUUUCCCCUGGAGGAGAUGCUGGAGACUUAGGAAACUGGAUGGACCAGGUCCUCGUUGCCGUAAUCUAGUUAUAACCAACCCAUGUUUCCCGUAUGGUCUGGCACAGAAACCAAAGGAAGGGUAUGCAGAGCUGGGCCCCGCUGGUUCCUUGGCAUGGCUGCUCUGCCCUCUGGGAAAGAUGGAGAAACCAGGGCUGGGAACCCAUAGGCCCCUAAGAAGAAAACAUCAACAACCAAAAUUACAGUUGGGAAGAACUGCCUCCAUCUGCAAGUAACUGGGCAAUUACCUCCUAAUUAAGCUCUCAUUAAUCUGUUUUCUGAGGGUGAUAGUACAGUACUUGGUAGGUGCACCCCACCCUGCUUGUCACUAAGGUGUUGAAGAUUAAGCAUUUCACAUCAAUCAAGGUGGAACUCUUCUAUCUGAUUAAAUAUAAUAGUCUGAUUUAUUCCAACAUGAUGAGGUCUUAAAAGCCAUGCCCUUUUAUCUUUGGAGCACUGGGAGGGGUUGCAGGAUUUUCAUUUUGAGUCCUGUGUUACAGGGGAGGAAGAGGAAGCACCAGGAGGGGAAAAGACACAAGGCAGAAUUCAGACCAGUGUUUUUCAAAGUGUGGACUAUGGAUCUCUCUUGCAUCUGAAUCACGUGCCUAUUAAAAAUGCAGAUUCCUGGGCCAGCCCUGAUGGCCUAGCAGUUAAAAGUUUGGUGCACUCCACCUCAGCAGCCCAGGUUCAGUUCCUGGUCACGGAACCAUACCACUCAUCUGUCAGUAGCCAUGCUGUGGUGGUGGCUCACAUUGAAGAAUUAGGACUUACAACUAGAAUACACAACUACGUACUGGGGCUUUGGGGAGGAAAAAAAAAGGGAGGAAGAUUGGCAACAGACCUUAGCUCAGGAUGGAACUUUCCCAGC
ensembl:lncRNA